GUGGCGUCUGGGUGGGGGAUGGGGACAACCCCCCAUGCACAGGACCUGUAGUAAAGUGUUAGGUCCUUGUAGAGAACCUAUCAAUACUACAUGUUGGUUGAACACUUGUUAUUUCAAAGCCAAACCAAAAGAGGUUUUUGGUAAACCCUCUGAUAAUUACUAGAAAAGUGUCCUUGGACAAUGCAUGUAUCCUUUGUGAGCCUCCCUUUCUGUGCCUGUACAAUGGAGAUAGCAAUGUGUCUACCUUAUGGGGCUGUGAUGAGGAUUAUAUUGAGCGAAUAAAGCAUCAAGCAUAGAUCCUGGGACACAGUGCUGAUUCACAUUCUGUCUGGUUCCCUUUUGCAUCCCUUAGGUUUUCCCUCCUUUGCUGAGAACUUAUGCCUGGUGUCCAUCCACUUCCUCUGCCACAGAGUGAGCAGCAGCCUGGGACUCAACCUCAUCCUGGUACAGGUGGGUCCUUGGUAACAACUUUGCCAGCGAGUGGCUGGAAACAGAGUCCCAGGGCACUCAGCAGAGUUUAUUAGAGUGAAAAUGAGGAGAACAGGGUCCAUCUUUAAGAGCUGUCCAAGGGAGACCGGAGCCACCCAGCCCCUGUAGGAAGGAAGUGUUAAUUGUGCCAUUAAUAAUACUUAGCAUUCUCCCCAUGCUUUUCCAAGCUAAUUAAUUCUGCUUCAAAUCCUGGAAAACAAAUGACUGGGUGUGUUGGGGACAGGCUUCUGUUUCUGAGAUUGAAGGGUGGAGAAGCUUGCCCUCUGCAAUGACUGGGGGAAGGGAAAAGCGGUGUUACCUCUUCCUCGGGUCAAGUUUCUUGGAAUGUGCAGAGGGCUUUGACCCCUGGUGGGGACUUCCCCUUUACCCUCAAGACCUUCUCCAAACAGGGAUAAUCACCCAAAGGUACAAAGGUACAAGGCUCACCCAGCCGUAGGACACUGUCCAGAAGUGGCAGAUGUUAAGCUGACACCGUGGUCUGGAGGGAAACUUUCUCUUUCUCUUUCCCCAGAACCCAGGGUAGAGCUCAUGUGCCAGAGGCUAGGAUGUGUAGUUAGGUCAUCAACUCUGCUGUCCUUUAACUCAGUGGAGACUAACCUUACAGACCAGAAUCUGGGGGUCCCAAGAAUCUGACCCAAUUCCUUCCCUUCACAGAAGUGCACGGUCAAGCGUGAGAGACAGAAGUGUCAGGCAGACGAUGGUGAGACUGAGAAAGGAACUCAGAGCCGGGAGAAACAAGUCCUAUCUUCCGGCCAACUCACAGCCACGUGGUCUACCAGUGCACUUGGCAUUAAGGGUUGAAUCGUAUCCCUGGCUCAAAUGCAUGUGUUGAAAUCCUAACCUCUCAGUACCUCAGAAUAUAACUUGAUUUGGAGACUGGGUGUUUACAGAGGCAACCAAGAUAAAGCAAGGUCAUUCUGGUGGGCUCUAAUCAAAUAUGACUGUUGUGCUUCUUCGAAGAAGGGGAAAGUUGGACACAGACAUGUACAGACGGAAGACGAUGUGACCAGGUGAAGAUACUGGGAGAAUGCCAUUGAACAUGAAGACAACCAAGCCAAGGGGAGAGGCCUGGAACAGAGCCCUCCCUCAGAGCCCUCAGAAAGAACCAGCCGUCCCAACCAACACCUUGAUUUGGGACUUCCAGCCUCCAGGAGAUAAGACAAGAAAUUUCUGUUGGUUAAGCCACCCAGGCUGUGAUACUUGGUUACAGUAGCCCUAGCAAACGAAUACAGCUGGCCGCCUGGUGAACAUAAGAAAUGUCAAUUGUGAUGAGGGAAGGGGUACCCCUAAGAACACAGGGAAGUUUGAGGCCACUAUAUGGCUUUGAGGAAGGGAAUAGGGAAGAGGGGGCAAUGCCCAGGAGGAAAGACAUCCCACAAAGCCCUGCUGCCUUCCUGCCCCUGGGGCCUUUGCCCGCCCUACUUCUAGGAAUAAAUCUACAAGGCUGCCUUUUAAUUUCUACUAUUGUGGAGAGCAUGACUUGGUGACACUUUACUUAGUACUCGGAGCUUCUCUACAGCCCCACGGGUUGGGAGUCUCUGUGCUAUGACUGAUAUCCUCGCUCUAGAGAAAUUUUGUGCCAAAACUUGGAAUGAAAUUGGAUAGAGAAAUUGGUCUCUUCUGGCCCCCUUCCUGAUCGGCCCCAUCAGUCAAAUGCAGCAGACUGCAACAAUACUAGAAGUUUUUCACUGAAGAGUCAGAGCACAGUAGCAAAAGUGGAUGACCAACCUGGAAGAAACUAACAGAAUCAAGAGCACUGCCUGGCUUUUCUUUCCUUACUUCAGUAAAUAUUUCAUAGAACAUCACUGAGCCCGGAAUUUCCUAGGUAAAGUGAGCAACUAAAUGAACAAUAAAAAUGGUUAUCACAUGCAUCUACUACUCACUGUGUUCUAUGAGCUGUAUACUAAAUAUUUGAGUUAUUUUGUUAAAUACAGUAAGUUUUCAUUAUUAAUCCCAUUGUGUCGACCUGAAGGUAAGGAUUCAGAACAUGAACAAGAUCUGUCUGACCCAAGCACAAUAUAAUAAUAAACAAAAAAAAAUUUAUGGAAUGCUUAAUAGGUUUCAGGCAGCAUUCUGUGGAUUCCACACAUAACAAUGAACUCAUUUGAUUUUCAUAGCAUUCCUAGGACGUAGGUACCACUAUUAACCCCAUUUUAUCUAUGAAGAAACCGAUGAUCAGAGAAAGUAGUUAACUUGCUUUAGAUCAUGCAGCUGGCUGGUGGCAGAACUGAAAUUAACCAGAAAGUAUGGUCCCAGAAGUUAUGUUUUUAAACUCUGUGCUAUCCUUGCUGCCACAGCCUUCAAGGAGAAAGAGUGGGUCAUAGUAUAUCUACCCUCCCAAGGGUUAGCAAAAUAGAUAACUCAUAGUAGAAGAAGAAUGAAAAAAAUGAGUAACAUAAAAUAAAAUAUUCUUCAUCAAGAAUUAUCUUUCAUUUUAGAAGCAACAUACUUCAUUUGGAUUCUCUAGUC